GGUUCAGGACGAACGCUGGCGGCGUGCCUAACACAUGCAAGUCGAGCGAGGAGAUCCUUCGGGAUGAUCCUAGCGGCGGACGGGUGAGUAACACGUGGGCAACCUGCCUCAUAGAGAGGAAUAGCCUUCCGAAAGGGAGAUUAAUACCUCAUAACAUUGCAGUUUCGCAUGGAACAGCAAUUAAAGGAGUAAUCCGCUAUGAGAUGGGCCCCGCGGCGCAUUAGCUAGUUGGUGAGGUAACGGCUCACCAAGGCAACGAUGCGUAGCCGACCUGAGAGGGUGAUCGGCCACAUUGGGACUGAGACACGGCCCAGACUCCUACGGGAGGCAGCAGUGGGGAAUAUUGCACAAUGGGGGAAACCCUGAUGCAAGCAACGCCGCGUGAGUGAUGACGGCCUUCGGGUUGUAAAGCUCUGUCUUCAGGGACGAUAAUGACGGUACCUGAGGAGGAAGCCACGGCUAACUACGUGCCAGCAGCCGC
rnacentral:rRNA from 1 species